GUAACAGAUGAAGAAAGGCUAUGGAAGAGACAGAUUCUGGAGGAUGCAGCAUUCAAGGUUCUAUCUUGGAAGCAGAGACUGUGCCCUCACCAGAUGCUGAACCUGCUGAGCACCCUGAUCUUCCACUUCACCUUCAUCAGAACUGGUGCUAAGAAUUCUGAAUUUAUUGAGGAAAUAAAUGUCUGAUUGCAACAAAAGAAAACUUGUCUGGCUUUGGGAAGGAAGAGGCUUAGGAAAAAAAUUAAAGGCGUCUUUACUAGAAGUUCAAGACUGGGGCUGUGGCUGAGAUGUCACAUGGCAGAUAGGAUCACAAAUUUCUGUUGUAUCUGGAUGGAGAUCAGCAGGAGGAUCUAUGGACUGCUGUGAUUGCACCUGCCAUCUUAUGCAGAAAUGACCUGAAGACAGACUGAAACAACGUGUUCUACAGCCUGAAAAUAUCUACCUUGACUUACAGUUUUAUUAAUGCUGGUGUGAUCAGACUGGACAAAAAUUAGCAUAUGUUAUUAACUGAUCUAAUUCAAGUGCCAAUUCUUAAUAGAAACACAAAACAAUAAAAGCAAUUCAGAAAAUAUUUACUAUUUGAUUUCUUCAAGCUCCAAACAGGCUUGUGCUUAGCUGUAGAAACUUGAAUAUAUACAAAUCUACAUGGAUAGAAUUCUUAGUCUUCUUUGGGCCAGGUGUGUUAGCCCCUUGGGAAAGGAUAAAGUUUUGGAAUAUAUUUUUAUUCAUGAACCUGCUCUCUUUAAGACUUCUGAGGAAAAGAGCUGCUGGGCAGAUGAGUAGAAUAUGUUACUACUGUUCCGACAUGUCUACCCAUCAAAACUAGCUGAUACAGUACACUUUAAUGACCCUUCUAUAGUCAAAACUGACAUUGACAUUGACAUUAACAGAAAAGAUUUGGGACAAAGAACUGUGUUCAUGCAGCAAAUCAGCCUCAAACUUCACCACAAGCUGCACAUUUUAUGCUACUGUAUUCUGCUUAAGCACUUAUUUGUAUUUAUGUAAACUGAAUGAUCCUUUAAUACUUAAGGACUUUAUUCUGGGUGAGUUAGAAUCACACUGUUUUGGCAGGAAAACUCUUUGAUAGGAAAAACUGUAUGGCUUGAUAAUUUAAGAGCUAAAAGUAGCCAAAUCAGGAACUACUGAAAUUCUUCAGUAUCUGUUAGAAUAUCUCCUGUUUGAGCCAUGUUUGUAAAUGAUGUUCAAAGGCAUUUCAAAAGCAUGUAAAUUAAAAAAACAAUUCAUUUGAUUCUGCUAUGGUUUAAAUAUAUAUAUCCCUCCAAAAUUCAUAUGUUGGAACUUAAACCCCAAGGUGAUGGUGUUAAGAGGUGAGGGCUUUGGGAGUUAUUAUAAUUAGGCCAGGAGGGCUCUGUCCUCAUGAAUGGCAUUAAUGCCAUUAUAAAGGAGACUUCAGAAAGCUGCCUGGCCUUUUUCUGUCUCUUCUGCCCUGUAAGUACACAGCAUUCAUCCCUUUUGCCCUCCCACCUUUUGCCAUGUGAAGAUGCAGUAACAUGAAGGCACCAUCUUGGAGGCAAGAGCACAGCUCUCACCAGACACUGAAUCUACCUGCACCUUGAUCUUGGACUUCCCAACAUCCAACUAUGAGAAAUAAAUUUUUAUUAUUUAUAAAUUACCCAAUCUUAGUGUUUUGUUAUAGCAGUACAAACAAACAGAGACAGAUUUUGACAGUCAUAUAAAACCUCAAGUACUUUGUAAAAAGAAAAUAUAAAUGUUGAAUGAUUGAAGAACGUGAAAGACUGGACAGUGAGAAAACAUGGGGGUAGGGGUUGUAGAAAUGGAGUGGUAUUCAGAGACAUAACUAAUUUAAGCUAUCUCUAGGACAAGGUUAAAUAACAGAAAAAUCAAAUGGGCCUCUGACUGGUAGCGUGUUUUGUUUGGG
rnacentral:lncRNA from 10 species